rnacentral:rRNA from 1 species
AUUGAACGCUGGCGGCAUGCUUAACACGUGCAAGUCGAACGGCAGCAUGACUUAGCUUGCUAAGUUGAUGGCGAGUGGCGAACGGGUGAGUAACGCGUAGGAAUAUACCUUGGAGAGCGGGACAACUUGGGGAAACUCAAGCUAAUACCGCAUAAUAUCUGAGGAUGAAAGCUGGGGACCUUCGGGCCUGGCGCUUUAAGAUUAGCCUGCGUCCGAUUAGCUAGUUGGUGGGGUAAGGGCCUACCAAGGCGACGAUCGGUAGCUGGUCUGAGAGGAUGAUCAGCCACACUGGAACUGAGACACGGUCCAGACUCCUACGGGAGGCAGCAGUGGGGAAUAUUGGACAAUGGGGGGAACCCUGAUCAGCAAUGCCGCGUGUGUGAAGAAGGCCUGAGGGUUGUAAAGCACUUUCAGUGGGGAGGAGGGUUGAUAGGUUAAGAGCUAAUUGACUGGACGUUACCCACAGAAGAAGCACCGGCUAACUCCGUGCCAGCCGCCGCCGUAACAC